CUUCACAACAUUUGCCAGAACCAUAGUGGAGGGAAAUUCACUCAAAGCAAAUUCAGUUGAAUUUGGAAGGUCUGUGUCAAUCCAUGCUAUUUCUCCGAUACUGUAGUUGUGAGUAACGGUUCCUGCACAGAGAGCAUUUCCUGAAGUGCUGGCUCCUGUUUUUAAUUCUGCUGGACAUUCUGAUUCAUUCUGCAGUGGUCUGAGGCAGGGAGACUGUGGAAGGAAGAGUCCUUUUUCUAUGGAAGUGUGAAGCUGAGCCAUACCAGAAUUCUUCAGGACAGAAAUGUCUGGUGAAACAAAUGAUCUGCCCUCUGGAAGUAUGUCCUUGGGGUCACACCAUCUGUAGUAAUGGACUUCACCAGCUGCAGGAGAGGGUUGUCACUGUUAUUCAUGACAACAUUUUGAAAUGCAGAGCUGUCACAGAAAGUACAGCAUAAGCACUGACAAAAGGCAUCGAAGGCGCAGGUGUUUAACACAGAGAUUGACAGUUUACCAACUUUAACAGGCUGAUGCAUGUUUCCAUUUUUUAAUAGUCCCACUUUCACUCUUUUGGCCCCAGAUGAUGAAUCUGCAUGGAGCCAUUCAGUGCAGGAACUCAAGUAUGAAGUCCUCUUCCUCUUUUUGGGUGGAAGAAUUUGUCCUCUCCAGUUUUCAACCACGUUUUCAUCUGCUGUGGAAAGGUUUUUGGCGGGAUCAGAUUCCAUUAAAUUGCUAGAAUCCAUUUUUGUUUUUUCUUCAGCAUUGUGUGUAAUUACUGACGCAGGAUUAGCUUCUGCAACGUCUGCUGAUGUAACUUGUUCCUCCUCUCUUUUUGCUUUGGCAGAGCAAAUCCGCAUAUUUCCUUCGAUGAAGGAAAGGUGCCGAGAAAUGAAGCGAUCCACUCGAAUGGGCAAGUUCUCAUGUUUGAACAGGCCAUGUUUUAUAUUUUUGAAUUCGGCUUCAACAUUGGCUGAGCUUGCUGUGAGACUGGUGCUUUUGAAGAGGGGAACCAUUAUUCCUGUCCACAGUGGUAAGUAACUUGCAAGUCUUAUAAUGUGUGGCACAAUCUCAGGGAGGAAAUGAAUGUUAUCCCUAUCCCCAUUGGCUGCAGCAUGUGUCCUGCUCUCCUCACAAAUGUUUGACACCCAGUCUCGUAGGUCAGUCUGGAUGUCAUUACAUGGAUCCACUUGAUGAACUUCCUUUGUGUCUUCAUCUGGAAUUAUGAUGGAGUCUUCUGCAAUCUGGGUUUUCAGGUAUUUUUUGCACCUCUCUGAUUCAAGAGGGGUUCCAGAACUGUCAUCACCUUCUGCCUCACUGAGAGCCACGACAGUGAUGGCAUGUAUUAGCUGCUUUGCAUGGUCCAAGCUUUGUGCCUGAAGAAGCUUUGCUAUUCCCCUGACAAAGAAGUCUUUGACACGGUGUGACUUGUUUUUCAGGCAGUCCCACUGGCAGACCAUCUUUAUGCAGUGGGCAACAUCAACCCUGAUAUAACAGGGAGGAAGUUUUGCAGACUGGUUCCCAAGUAGCACAUGGAAGCAUUCAUCAAUGUAUGAUUUCAGGUUAGGACAAGGAGUGAAGGCCUUCACCAGAGCACCAAGAAUAGCCAGGAAAAGUCACUCACAGCUUCUUUUGAACACCUUGGUAUAAGAAGAUGUGGCCAGAUGUACCAUUUGGUCUUGCCAGUUUUCUGACAACUGAACCAGUUGCAUCAAAGCAAACUACUGAGGGACAUUUUUUGGUUGCCAGGUUUGAAGGUGACUUGGCUCGAUCUCCAAUAUCCAUCAACUCUGAUGCCUUUGCUGACCUCCAUACAGAUGGUUCCAUCCUGCCUUCACACAACUCUUCUGAAAUCUGUGCACGAAGGGUUCCUGACAUGAAUCUUUUGGACUGGCCAGUGUGCAGGGAGAUGUCGGCGCCUUCAAUGGAACACUGGAGCACCAUUGGGCUGUUGACCGUUGGCUCUCUGUCACAUGUCAUUUUAACACGACUUUGACACUCUUUACAGAAACCUGUGAUGUCAAUGUACUUGCUAGCGACAGUUGGAUAAACUUUUGCUCUUUGGAAUACAAAUGUACAAGUGCUUUUCAACUUUUUCCAAACCAGAUCAUUAAUUAUAUGACUCCAUGUGCCAGGUUUUAAAA